UGUAUUCACUACUGUAAGUCGCUCUGGAUAAGAGCGUCUGCAAAUUUUGUUUA
rfam:Salmo salar isolate Sally breed double haploid chromosome ssa22, whole genome shotgun sequence.